rnacentral:rRNA from 1 species
CGGACGGGUGAGUAAUGUCUGGGAAACUGCCCGAUGAGGGGGAGUAACUACUGGAAACGGUAGCUAAUACCGCAUAACGUCGCAAGACCAAAGAGGGGGACCUUAGGGCCUCUUGCCAUCGGAUGUGCCCAGAUGGGAUUAGCUAGUAGGUGGGGUAAUGGCUCACCUAGGCGACGAUCCCUAGCUGGUCUGAGAGGAUGACCAGCCACACUGGAACUGAGACACGGUCCAG